CCUACGGGCGGCAGCAGUGAGGAAUAUUGGUCAAUGGACGAGAGUCUGAACCAGCCAAGUAGCGUGAAGGAUGACUGCCCUAUGGGUUGUAAACCUCUUUUAUAUGGGAAUAAAAUGUUCCACGUGUGGGAUUUUGUAUGUACCAUAUGAAUAAGGAUCGGCUAACUCCGUGCCAGCAGCCGCGGUAAUACGGAGGAUCCGGGCGUUAUCCGGAUUUAUUGGGGUUAAAGGGUGCGUAGGUGGAUUGUUAAGUUAGAUGUGACAGUUUGGGGCUCAACCGUAAAAUUGCAGUUGAAACUGGCAGUCUAGAGUACGGUAGAGGUAGGCGGAAUUCGUGGUGUAGCGGUGAAAUGCGUAGAUAUCACGAAGAACUCCGAUUGCGAAGGCAGUUCACUGGACUGCAACUGACACUGAGGCUCGAAAGUGUGGGUAUCAAACAGGGUUAGAUACCCUUGUAGUC
rnacentral:rRNA from 1 species